CUUUUAAGUGCUUAGCACUUAACUGCGCCUUUGGACACGAGAAAAGCUCGCAAUUCUUAAGUAAAGAAUUUUGUAGGUCCCUGCUCUGCACAGAAAACACACCUGUGCAGAAAACAGCACGACUACAAAAGAUUUAUGUAUGAGCUAGAACUCGAUGCAAAUAAGAGGCCAAAUUUAGAUACCAAACCAAUAUUGCACGAAGAAAAUUAUUAUAUAGGGAUUUUGAAGAGUUAACGUGGUGUGUCAAUAAAGAAGUGAUUUUAUAGCGCACCAAUUUAAAAAUGCGGAAGUGUACGCUCGUUACUUUCAUUCAUACUACAGUCAGUCUCACCACCUCUCUGCCUGAAAUGGGCGUCAAUAUUUUGUGACUUUAAACUAUUCUGCCUUUGUUUUUCGGUGACCCACAUUUCACUGGUCCAAUGUUGCCUGUUUAGCUCAAAUCCCAAGAUCCAGUUACGUGAAGCCUUACCCACCCACUACUUUUAAGUUCGUGCAUAGCUACAAAGUGACGACUCUCGUCCCCGAUACGCGAUUUUCCGCCCAUUCUCACGCACCACAGCCAGCAUGGAGGCCUGGAGGUGCCCCGGCCUCCGGAGCCUUCCUGAAACGCCACAACCAGGAGCCCCAGCAGCGGGCACAUCCAAACCCGGCAGGAGCUGAAGCGAGCUCUCUCAACAACAUGACACCAAGGAGUGAAGCUAACACCCUCCACACUGGGGAUUUUUAGGAAGACUUGAAAGAGCCUCUCCUGCUUUGGCAUCUGAAAAGAGAGAAUGUUGGCAGCUUGCUCUUGCUCUGGAGAAAGUAGCUUCAUCUCUUAAUUUUUAUGUCUUUUACAGUCUCAUGUGCACGGAGUUUAACUUCCUUUCUUGGUGGAAUAGAUUAAGAGCUGUUGAUUAGGCAGAGACUACAUCACAGCUGGUUGAAAAUCCAAGGUUAAGAUUUUCAAAACGUUGAGGAAGAUGAAUAAGCAGCAUACUUCCUUUGUAAUUGUCUGAGCUGCUGGAGCACAGAAUGUAUGUAAUUUGGGCCAUUUAUUCGCAUUCCCAAAUAUGACCUUUUGAGCUAACUUUAGGUACUUCUGAAAAAAAAUCUUGGCCAACUGUCAACAACAUAAUCAACAAGCAGAGAAGCUAGUCCUAAGUAGACCACCCUGAAAUAGUUCUGCUUUUGCUGGCAAUUUAUAUUAUUCCCCCCUGGAUCUCUCCCUUGAGCAGAAUAUCCGGUUGGAUUUAUUGUGGCUUCACCACAAAUAUGGUAGCAAAGUUCCCUCUAAAUUUUCUCAUGAGGAAGAAAUCAGAUACAAAUGAGAAAAUAAGGUGUUAGAGAUAGCAUACAGCUUGUUUAUAACCUUUUUCUUGAAAGAAAACACCUUCCACCAUAUUUAAGCCUUAUUUUUUGGAUUCUUUAUCCUGUGGGAUCAGUAAAUCUGUGCUAGGCAAAGCUAUUAAUAAAGAAUCAAUAACAUAUAUUCUGGCCCUGCA
rnacentral:lncRNA from 1 species